GAUCAUGGCUCAGGACGAGUGCUGGCGGCGCGCCUAACACAUGCAAGUCGAACGAGAGAUGAGGAGCUUGCUCUUCAAAUCGAGUGGCGAACGGGUGAGUAACGCGUGAGGAACCUGCCUCAAAGAGGGGGACAACAGUUGGAAACGACUGCUAAUACCGCAUAAGCCCACGGCUCGGCAUCGAGCAGAGGGAAAAGGAGUGAUCCGCUUUGAGAUGGCCUCGCGUCCG
rnacentral:rRNA from 1 species